rnacentral:lncRNA from 1 species
GGAAAGGGCAGGGGCGACUCCCCACUCUUCAAAACCCUAGAACUUCACUAAUCUUGCAAAUUGAAGGUCCAAUUCAGUCCAAAAUCGAAAUUUAAGCAUGGAUUAUUGAUCCUCAUCACAAGAGGAUUAAAAGUUUGAUCUCGUCAAGCUAAGUGGGAGCUGGAAAGGAAUGGAUCAAACGGAUCAUGGAUGCGAAAAAUGUUUGCGCGGACGCGAGGGUAAAACGGCUUAUGGAAUUUACGUGGCUAUGAAUCAGCAAAUUAUUAAGGCAAGGUAUUAAAACGGGUCAAUACUUUGACCCGCGCCAGGUACGCGUAAAUUUGGUGAAAGAUAUGUGAAUACCUUAAUGUAGAAAAAUGACAUGUGAAAGUAGAGAGUAGGAUUUAAACUUAAAUGAUUAAAUCCUCUCUAACAAGUCAAAAUAAGAACUUGAACGUAAAUGGGUUCUAACUAAGUAAGAAACCCAUGAUUUAUGAUUUAUUUGAUAGGAAAUAUUGAAAUUAUGAUUUUCAUGAGUUUAUAGAGCAAAUAAACAUGUUUGUUUGAUAAAAUCGCGAACGGGUUAAAAUUUGGUAAAAAUGGUAAUAAGCCGAAGACUUAAAAGUCUUAAAUUUUGUUAAUUCGGAUGUUGGAUUUUGACUUCAUACUAUGAAGGGUCAAAUUACAAUCAUGUAGGAAGAAACGGUGGGUCAAACGGAUAAGCGGUUUGAAAGAUACGAAAGUUUUCGUGCCAAUAAACGGCAAAAUAGGAAAGCUGGAAUGCAGGGGCCACCGUAACUUACGGUGACACCGUAAGUUACGGUGGAGUUGAAGGCUUUACGGCAGCCCUCUACUGAUUUACGGUAGGGGCAUGUCACACCAGGGGCCACCGUAACUUACGGUGCCACCGUAAAUUACGGUGGAGGCCAGUUGGGAAAUCCAUGUUUUGAGAUCAAGAGUUUAACGUUGGGAAUUCUUUUUCCUUCCAUUAUCAUUACCGGAUUUGUUUAGAUUUAUUUCAAUCCCCGUAUGACUAAAGCAUUUCAUGUUUAUGAAAUGUAGGUUCAUUUUGGAUGCCGAGAGACGAUCAAGCUCAUCGAAGAACCGAACACGAUAUAGUUACAUGCUUCCGCACUUUGCCACGUUGUAUAUUUUAAACAACGAAUUCGAUCACGUUUUGUAGAAUAACUUAUGAAUUGUAAAAGUUUUAAUUUACUCGAAAUUUUCUA